rnacentral:lncRNA from 1 species
AUUUACAAGUGGAAACACAUUGGUUCUGAUCACUCCUAACUUGCUGGGUGAUCAUACAUACAUCAACGUGAAGGUGUGACAUCAGAAUCAUGAGCACCAUGGCUGCAGUUGUGUGAUCCAAGGCUAGUUGGCUUGGUAGCUGUUGGCAGCAGUUUCCCUUGGUCGGAAGCCUCCUUGCUAUCUAUUGCUGCUCUCUUCUUCUUGUCAUCCUUAAACAUUCAGUCAUGUUCCCAGGUCUGAGGGGAGAAAUGGCCAGACCAGUUUCAUUACCUCUGGCAACAGAAACAAGGAUUGAAAUGGUGGUAGUUAAAAGUGCAGACACAUCUGAGGUGCAACGUCUGCAUCAUCCUGGUGGCUAGCCAGUGCUGGGAGGCCCUGCCCUGGGAUACCAGUUGUGACAAUAAAGGGAUGGCCCUCCUGGCUUCGGCGUCCUGCAGGUAGAGCAGCCGCAUUCCUUCACAAGAUGGAAGGCAGGUGGGGAUGUCAGGAUGAGAUGGGACCAGGUAGCCGAGGACAGUGAGGCGUGACUGAGCCACUUGAGGGGCAGCUGAACAGAAGGAUGUCUGUGUGCGUCAACCGAGCAGAUUGUGUGCCCACUCAUUUCCGAACUACCUCUCCCCAAAGAAUGUGAGGCAUUGUCACCUUGUUACAGCUAUGUGAAGCAGAGCUCUCGCAACUCUUCCUGUCUACAGGCAGGAAAACCAGGAUGGAGAAGGGCGACUUGCUUAUUAGGAUCACCCAUCAAGUCAGGAGUGAUCAGAACCAGUGAAGUUUCCAUUUUUCAUCCAUUGCUGCCCUUUGUGUGAACAAAUGUGACUCCAUAUUUAUUACACAGCAAGGACUGCUGUGCGUGGGUGUUCCUCAGACCAUCUCUACUCUUUGGUUAGGACACUAGGUUCUUCCAGCAUAUGAGUGAGAAUAUCGGUGGUAUUUUGGGCUCCUCUACUGCACAAGGGCCAGUCCCCGAGUCUACUCUGAUUGUCAUGGGCACCCACACAGAUCAGGACACCCUUUGAAUUUUUGUUUGACAUGAACUAUUUAGGUGUUCCAAAACCUUGGGAUCUCAAUGUGCAAACUCCUUGGACUCCAGACCCCUGUCUGGUUGGCACUCCCAGCAGCGUGUGGUUUCAUCAGGAAAUCCUUGCAGCAGGGGUUUAGAUGGUUCCUUCAGGAGGUGGGAAGCCUCCAUAGCAUCGAAGGCCAGCCUGCAUCUCGCGGUGUGUGUCCACUUCUCCCCUCACUUUCCCCUCGCCCAUCCCUUUAAAGUGAUUGGCUGUGAGGAGCACAGAGGGUGGCAAUUCCAUCUGUUAUGGGCUCAGAAGACAUAGCCGCCAUGUUGAUUUCACAUUAAACUGUGUAAAAUGUGGAAAAGACUCAGCAUGUUGGUCAAACAAUAAACUGUCCUAAUUCUC